rnacentral:rRNA from 1 species
UACGAAGGGGGCUAGCGUUGUCCGGAUUUACUGGGUGUAAAGGGCGCGUAGGCGGACUUGUCAGUCAGAGGUGAAACCCUGCAGCUUAACUGCAGAACUGCCUUUGAUACUGCAAGCCUUGAGUCUAGAAGAGAGAAGCGGAAUUCCAGGUGUAGUGGUGAAAUACGUAGAUAUCUGGAAGAACACCAGUUGCGAAGGCGGCUUCUUGGUCUAGAACUGACGCUGAGGCACGAAAGCGUGGGGAGCAAACAGG